UAAACUACGAUUAGAUACCCUAUUAUUUCAGAUGUAAAUUUAAAAGACUUGAGUAGUAAUAGAUAUGUUCUUGAAACUCAAAGAAUUUGGCGGUGUUUUAGUCCUUUCAGAGGAACCUGUCCCGUGAUCGAUAGUCCACGUUUUACCUGACUUAACUUAGUUUUCAGCUUGUAUACCGCCGUCGUCAGAAUGUCCUUGGAGGGGUUAAAUUUUCUUAAUUUUAAAUUAAAAUCGAUGUCAGGUCAAGGUGCAGUUUAUGGUUAAGUGGAGAUGGGUUACAAUAAAAUUAUUUAUACGGAUAGUAAGUGGAAGCACUUGUUUGAAGGUGGAUUUGAUUGUAAAGGAAUUGAUUAAGUUAUUUUGAUUUUGGCUCUAAAACAUGCACACAUCGCCCGUCGCUCUUA
rnacentral:rRNA from 1 species